UGGGGAAUAUUGCACAAUGGGCGCAAGCCUGAUGCAGCGACGCCGCGUGAGGGAUGGAGGCCUUCGGGUUGUAAACCUCUUUCGCCAGUGAAGCAGGCCAUCUUUUUUGGGUGGUUGACGGUAGCUGGAUAAGAAGCGCCGGCUAACUACGUGCCAGCAGCCGCGGUAAUACGUAGGGCGCGAGCGUUGUCCGGAAUUAUUGGGCGUAAAGAGCUCGUAGGCGGCUGGUCGCGUCUGUCGUGAAAUUCCUCGGCUUAACCGGGGGCUUGCGGUGGGUACGGGCCGGCUUGAGUGCGGUAGGGGAGACUGGAACUCCUGGUGUAGCGGUGGAAUGCGCAGAUAUCAGGAAGAACACCGGUGGCGAAGGCGGGUCUCUGGGCCGUUACUGACGCUGAGGAGCGAAAGCGUGGGGAGCGAACA
rnacentral:rRNA from 1 species